UCCGUGUGACAAAAGGAGCGAAGGAACCUGCCAUCCUAGGAGAGGAGAGGGACGGGACUCGUGCGGCGUAUGUUUUCAUUUACUGAUUUAAAUCUUAAUGCGUCUGUUUGUGCGAACAAACCAGUGGGCGUGCACGCGUGUUGUUUAGAAACCCAAGCCUCGUGGAGACCCACAGAGCUUGAGUACGGAAAGGACAAAGCACUGAAUAGACAAUGAGGUGGGAUAUUUGCAUAUAACAAAAGGAUCCUCCAGUGGGGAAGGCAUUGUAUUAUUGUGAGGAGGACAGCUAAUAGUUCAUGAGCUUCAGGCACAGGCAGCUUUCUGUGAAGGAGUGUUCAAGGACUCCAGCUAUUGAAAGGAUGAGGCUACCCAUGUUUGCAAUCCACCACAAUGCCCUGGCGUACUCCAUGACAACGCUGGGGUCCUGCAUGAUGACCAGUAUUUUCAGCUUCUAUUAUGUUAAAUUGUUUCUGAACAAGUACCAGAUCUCAGAGGGAGCUUUCCAUCAAGCCCAGGUCCUGUACAUGAUCUGGAAUGCAGUUAACGAUCCUCUCUUCGGAUACAUCCAGGACAAUUCCAGGGUGCGUUGCUGUGCACGUCGACGUCUCUCCAUUCUCUAUGGAGCACCUUUCUACGCCCUGGCAUUUCUGCUCCCCUGGUUUCCCUGGAAGACAUAUGAGGCGGGAGACGCUCUGAGUGGCCUGCAUCUUAUUGUAUCCCUUUUUGCCUAUGAUGGCAUGCUGACCUUUGUGCUCUUAGCUCAAUGUGCUCUUUUUGCAGAGAUAUCUGGCCAGCAUGAGAACAGACUAACACUCAUCAAGUAUAGCCAGAUUGCCUCUCUGGUGGGCUCUUGUAGUGUGCUGUUUUGUGGCUUGGUGUCAGACAAUAUGGAGAACUUCCCAUACUUCCAGGGUUUCACCAUUACCAUGGCUUUCUUGGCAUGUGCCUGCAUGCUGUACACUGGCAUGUAUACCAUCAGCCAGUAUGACAAGGAAGACUGGAAGGGCUCUGGAGAAAGAGGGCAGAAAGCAGAGGAGGCUGCCAUGUCCCUGACUGCUGUCUUCUCCAUGACCAGGCAGAUUGUAACACAGAAAGACUUCUUGUGCUUUGUCUCGAUGAACUUCUGCCAAGUUUUCCUGGUUGCUUUCUACAGCAACUUCGCCAUGAUCUUUACGGAGCACCUCAUACCCCAAGGAGCCCUCCCAUCCUCAGUGAAGAGCAUCCUUUAUGGAGCAGGGUUCAUUUGUCCUCAGCUCCUGGUCCUGAGUAGCCAGAACCUGCUGAGGAGGCUGGGAUAUUACAGAAUCAUCCUGUGCACAUUCUAUCUUGAAGCGUUAGCGUCAGCUUUGGUCUUCCUCCUUGGGCAUCAACACUACAACAUCUUGGCUCUUUAUCUCAUUGGCAGCAUGGUGCUGGUCCAGGCAACCUUCAGUUUGUUCAAUUUGCCCCUGGCUGAUAUCAUUGAUGCUGACUUACGAAAGCACCAGCGCAGCUCCCCAUUAUCCUCCAUGGUGUUUGGUACAAAUGCCCUCUUCACCAAGCCGGCUCAGUCCCUAGCUCCUAUGCUGGUUGUUACGAUUCUGAAUCAGUUUGACUACGAGAAGUUGAAAGAGGGCACCACCUCCACCUUGGACUUUAGACCUCAACUGCAGCCACUCCAUGAAGCAAUGUUCUAUCUGGUGUGUCUGCUGCCGGCCUGUGUGGCGCUUUUGCAGAUGCUGGUCUGGAGACCUUUUUCUAUACGGGACAGUCACAUGGUGGAGUCUAAAUAUGUGGAGACUUGAAAAGAGAUCCCGUUGCAAGCAGUGGAAAUCCCUUGAGGUGCACAAGGAUGCGGACCCCUGGUAUGCAGGGUUACAAGGUUACCCCUUUUGGGGCUUUUCAUUUCCAUUCCUCCCACCCCCCUUGUGAGAUUUCUGGGAGAUUGGGAAUCGCUUACAAGAGUCCAGGACAAGACCCUGAUUUAUGGGAGACUUGGUACAGUCAUAUGAAAAAGUUUGGGACCCCCUCUCAGCCUGCAUAAUAAUUGACUCUCCUUUCCACAAACAAGAUAACCGUGGUCUGUCUUUCAUUUACUAGAACAUCUGAGUACUGCGGUGUUUUCCGAACAAAGAUUUUUAGUGACGCAGUAUUUAGUUGUAUGAAAUUAAAUCAAAUGUGAAAAACUGGCUGAGCACAAAUGUGGGUCCCCUUGUCAUUGUGCUGAUUUGAAUGCCUGUCACUGCUCAAUGCUGAUUACUUGCAACACCAAAUUGGUUGGAUGAACUCGUUACGCCUUGAACUUCAUAGACAGGUGUGUCCAAUCAUGAGAUAUAAAGGUAUUUAAGGUGGUCAAUUGCAUGUUGUCCCUCCCUUUGACUCUCCUCUGAAGAGUGACAGCAUGGGAUCCUCAAAGCAACUCUCCAAAGAUCUGAAAACAAAGAUUGUUGAGUCUCCUGGUUUAGGGGAAGGCUACAAAAAGCUGUCUCAGAGGUUUCAACUGUCAGUUUCAACUGUAAGGAAUGGAAUCAGGAAAUGGAAGGCCACAGGCACAGUUGCUGUUAAACCCAGCAGGUCUGGCAGGCCAAGAAAAAUACAGGAGCAGCAUAUGUGCAGGAUUGUGGGAAUGGUGACAGACAACCCACAGAUCACCUCCAAAGACCUGCAAGAACAUCUCGCUGCAGAUGGUGUAUCUGUACAUCGUUCUACAAUUCAGCACAAUUUGCACAAAGAACAUCUGUAUGGCAGGGCGAUGAGAAAGAAGCCCUUUCUGCACUCACGCCACAAACAGAGUCGCUUGUUGUAUGCCAAUGCUCAUUUAGACGAGCCAGAUUCAUUUGGGAACAAAGUGCUUUGGACUGAUGAGACAAAAAUGGAGUUAUCUGGUCAUAACAAAAAGCGCUUUGCAUGGAACACCGCAUUCCAAGAAAAACACCUGCUACCUACUGUCAAAUUUGGUGGAGGUUCCAUCAUGCUGUGUGGCUAGUUCAGGGACAGGGGCCCUUGUUAAAGUCGAGGGUCGGAUGAAUUCAACCCAAUAUCAACAAAUUCUUCAGGAUAAUGUUCAAGCAUCAGUCACAAAGUUGAAGUUACGCAGGCAGGGGUUGGAUAUUCCAACAAGACAAUGACCCAAAACACAGUUGGAAAUCUACAAAGGCAUUCAUGCAGAGGGAGAAGUACAAUGUUCUGGGAUGGCCCUGACUUGAAUAUCAUUGAAAAUCUAUGGGAUGAUUUGAAGCAGGCUGUCCAUCAAAUUGAACUGAACUGGAGAGAUUUUGUAUGAAGAAUGGUCAGAAAUACCUCCAUCCAAAAUGCAGACACUCAUCAGAGGCUAUAGGAGGACAGCGUCUAGAGGCUCAAAGGAGCAAAAGGAGGCUCAACUAAGUAUUGAUGUCAUAUCUCUGUUGGGGUGCCCACAUUUAUGCACCGGUCUAAUUUUGUUAUGAUGCAUAUUGCAUAUUUUCUGUUAAUCCAAUAAAUUUAACGCCACUGCUGAAAUACUACUGUCUCCAUAAGGCAUGUCAUAUAUUAAAAGGAAGUUGCUACUUUGAACGCUCAGCCAAUGAGAAACAAAAAUCCAAAGAAUUAAGAGGGGGUCCCAAACUUUUAAAUAUGACUGUAUGUCUGCUGUUCAAUGGCAGCUUUUUGUGAUGUAAAAAAAAAAAUGAAACCAAGAUAAAUCAUGUUGGAACUUUUUACACCUCUGUUUUAAAAAUUGCAACUGGUUCCACGGUGAAAACAAAUUAGAAGCCAUUUAGGGGGAAAAAAAUGAAAAACAUGCAAAAACCUGGCUGUGCACACCCCUACCAUGGGUGCUGAACUCCGGUCUUGGAGGGCCGCAGUGGCUGCAUGUCUUCAUUCUAACCUUCUUCUUCAUUAGUGACCCAUUUUUGCUGCUAAUUAACUUCUUUUGCUUUAGUUUUAAUUCACUUGACUCAGGCCCCUUAGUUGUCUCUUUUUCCUUAAUUAGCAGCCAAAUAAUAAUGAGACGGCGGCACGGUGGCCUCGCAGUAAGGAGACCUGGGUUCGGUUGACUUUGCACUUCUGUCAUCGCACUAAGUAUCAGUGUUCGCUUGUGGUACCGAUUUAUUUGCGUGAAUCCGACUGAGAGGCUGUGGGUCGAGGGGAGGUGGAAGCAGGAAGGACCUUGGUGAUUGGCAGAGAUAUCACGGCCACAUGCUUUUUUGCCCAGUCGGAGGACGCUCUUCCGUCAGAGCUGAACACGAUCAGAUACAACGGUAACGUUUGAUGUUAGAGUGUACCUACCUUCCACUUGGCCGGAAUUACAUUUUUAUUCAUUUUUUUUUUAAAUUGAUUUUUAAAUUUGUCACCUACUACGGUAUGUGGGUGUAGCCACGGGGGACGGUUAGUAUAUAAGGCCCUGCAUGGAGUUUGCAUG